rnacentral:rRNA from 1 species
UAAGCGGAGGAAAAGAAACUAACAAGGAUUCCCCUAGUAACUGCGAGUGAAGCGGGAAAAGCUCAAAUUUAAAAUCUGGUGGUCUUUGGCCAUCCGAGUUGUAAUUUAGAGAAGCGUCUUCCGCGCUGGNCCGUGCACAAGUCUCCUGGAAUGGAGCGUCACAGAGGGUGAGAAUCCCGUCUUUGGCAUGGACACACCAGGGCUUUUGUGAUGCGCUCUCGAAGAGUCGAGUUGUUUGGGAAUGCAGCUCAAAAUGGGUGGUGAACUCCAUCUAAAGCUAAAUAUUGGCGAGAGACCGAUAGCGAACAAGUACCGUGAGGGAAAGAUGAAAAGCACUUUGGAAAGAGAGUGAAACAGUACGUGAAAUUGUUGAAAGGGAAACGCUUGAAGUCAGUCGCGUCGACCGAGACUCAGCCUUGCCUUGGCUUGGUGUACUUCUCGGCCGACGGGUCAGCAUCAAUUUUGCCCCUUGGAUAAUGAUGAGGGAAACGUGACACCUUUAUGGUGUGUUAUAGUCUCUUGUCGCAUGCAAGGGUCGGGAUUGAGGAACUCAGCACGCACCUUUGGGUGUCGNGGCUUUGCCCACGAUACGUGCUUAGGANGNNGNCGUAAUGGCUUAAACGACC